rnacentral:rRNA from 1 species
CCUACGGGUGGCUGCAGUCGGGAAUUUUGCUCAAUGGGGGAAACCCUGAAGCAGCAACGCCGCGUGAGGGAUGAAGGCCUUCGGGUUGUAAACCUCUUUUGUCAGGGACGAUGAUGACGGUACCUGGCGAAUAAGCCACGGCUAACUACGUGCCAGCAGCCGCGGUAAUACGUAGGUGGCAAGCGUUGUCCGGAUUUACUGGGCGUAAAGAGCGCGCAGGCGGUCUUGUAAGUCGAAUGUGAAAGCCCCUGGCUCAACCAGGGAGGGUCAUUCGAUACUGCUUGACUCGAAGGCAGGAGAGGGAAGUGGAAUUCCGGGUGUAGUGGUGAAAUGCGUAGAUAUCCGGAGGAACACCAGUGGCGAAGGCGACUUUCUGGCCUGUUCUUGACGCUGAGGCGCGAAAGCUAGGGGAGCAAACGGGAUUAGAUACCCUUGUAGUC